rnacentral:rRNA from 1 species
GCACGGAGUUAGCCGGGGCUUCUUCUACGGGUACCGUCAACCUUGCGGUUUCGUCCCCGUCGAAAGGAUUUUACGUACCGAAAUACAUCAUCAUCCACGCGGCAUUGCUUCGUCAGGGUUUCCCCCAUUGCGAAAAAUUCCCCACUGCUGCCUCCCGUAGGAGUCUGGACCGUGUCUCAGUUCCAGUGUGGCCGACCGUCCUCUCAGACCGGCUACUGAUCGUUGCCUUGGUGAGCCAUUACCUCACCAACUAGCUAAUCAGCCGCGGACCCCUCUCAGAGCGAAUUGCUCCUUUCCUGACAAAACCCGCAGGUUCCAUCAGAAUAUGCGGUAUUAGCACCGGUUUCCCGGUGUUAUUCCCCACUCUGAGGCAGGUUAUCCACGUGUUACUCACCCGUGCGCCGCUGUACUCAUGUAUUGCUACACUUUCUCGCUCGACUUGCAUGUGUUAGGCAUGCCGCCAGCGUUGAUU